rnacentral:lncRNA from 1 species
CUCUGCUUGGGUGAGCUAUUUCAAGCAGCUGGGAUACCUGUGUCACUCCUGCUGUCUGCCAGUGACUGCCCAGGUGUCUGCUGGUUCCUCCCCAGGAGUAGGGAGGAACCAGGUGGGCUGGCUGGGAUGGGUGGAUAUUUAAAGACCAGGCCUUGGACGCUGCAGCACUUCUAUCUCUGCUUGAUGCCUGCUGCCACGUGGCUGGUCCUCCUCCUCCUGCUGUGGCUGAGCCUUGGGGUGAAGACAGGCAGCUGCUCCCAACCCCAGAACCUUUGCUGUCUUGGGACGGAUCACCGCUGCAAGAGGGGAAGUUGCUACUGUGAUGAAUUCUGCCAUGUGGCACCAGACUGCCACCCAGACCACAGUGUCCUCUGCAACCCUGCUUCUCAGAUGACCAAGAUGGUGCUGCAGAUGGUGCUGAGGAUGGAGAACCCACCAAGCCCCGCUAGGAGCCACCUAGACUGGAUGCAGAGCAUGGUGAGCUCCCUGCAGGUUCUCUGAGAAGGGGUGGAUGGCAGCCUGCUCCUUGCCUUUGUGCCCUCCAGGCCCCAAAGUCAGGGAACCAAAAGAAGAAAGGGGCCGUAGCUAGGGCAGAGCUCCACUGCAAUGAUUGUUUUAGGGGUAGGAGCCAGGAUUGCCGUCUGUGGACACUGAAAUUUGAAUCUCAUAUACUUUUGUGACAAAACAUUCUUCCUCUUUUGUUCUUCUCCUACCAUCUAAAAAUGUAGAAAACAUUCUUAGCCUAUGAGUUGCA